ensembl:snRNA U1 U1 spliceosomal RNA
GUACUUACCUGGCAGGGGAGAUACCAUAAUCACAUAGGUGGUUUUCCCAGGGUGAGGCUUAUCCAUUGUACUCUGGAUCUGCGAUUUCCCCAAAUGAGGGAGACUCGACUGCAUAAUUCCUGGUAUUGGGGAACUGCGUUCUUGUUCUUCCCUG